rnacentral:ncRNA from 1 species
AAAACGGCGUUGAGGAAGACAAGUAAUAUAAAAAAACCGCCCCAGUGAGCAAAGGAUAGUGGAAACUUUGUGUAGGCUUUUGUAUGAAUAACACUUCUUAGCUUCAAUCUGAACCUCCUUUUUGGAGCAGUAGGUGAGACGGAUUGUCCCCCGUUAUGGGACGCGGGUUUAUUUGAACCCAGAAGAGACUGUUUAUUACAGUAAUUUAGGUGGCACCGCGGAUGGCAGCUAUUCGUCCUAAUU